rnacentral:rRNA from 1 species
AGCGAACGCUGGCGGCGUGCCUAACACAUGCAAGUCGAACGUGAACGGGGCAACCCUAGUAAAGUGGCGUACGGGUGAGUAACACGUAGGUAAUCUACCUUACAGUUCGGAAUAACCUGACGAAAGUCGGGCUAAUACUGGAUAGAGCGAUGGGAGUCGUAACGACUCUUUCGGGAAAGGGAGCCUGAUAAGGGCCUUCGCUGUAAGAUGAGCCUGCGUCUGAUUAGUUAGUUGGUGGGGUAAUGGCCUACCAAGACGAUGAUCAGUAGCUGGUCUGAGAGGAUGAUCAGCCACACUGGAACUGAACACGGUCCAGACUCCUACGGGAGGCAGCAGUGGGGAAUCUUGCGCAAUGGACGAAAGUCUGACGCAGCCACGCCGCGUGAGUGAAGAAGG